rnacentral:rRNA from 1 species
UACCCGCGGCCCGAGUGGUGUUCAUUAUUAUUGAGCUUAAAGCGUUCGUAGCCGGCCUUGUAAAUCCUUGGGUAAAUCGGGCAGCUCAACUGUUCGAAUUCCGAGGAGACUGCAAGGCUCGGGACCGGGAGAGGUUCGAGGUACUCUCGGGGUAGGGGUAAAAUCCUGUAAUCCUGAGAGGACCACCAGUGGCGAAGGCGUCGAACUAGAACGGAUCCGACGGUGAGGGACGAAGCCCUGGGGCGCAAACGGG